rnacentral:tRNA from 1 species
UGGAUAGCUCAGUUGGUUAGAGUGUGGUACUGAUAAUGCCUAGGUUGCAGGUUCGAUCCCUGAAUGGGACAU